AGAGUUUGAUUCUGGCUCAGGACAACGCUGGCGGCGUGCUUAACACAUGCAAGUUGAACGGGCAGACUUGUCUGUUAGUAGCGGACGGGUGAGUAAUGCAUGAGGAGCUGUCAUAGGGAGGGGGACAACAGUUGGAAACGGCUGCUAAUACCCCGUAGCCGGAAGGUGAAAGGAGCGAUCCGCCCGAUGAGGUACUCAUGUCCUAUCAGCUGGUUGGUGGGGUAACGGCCUACCAAGGCGACGACGGGUAGCCGGCCUGAGAGGGUGAACGGCCACACUGGAACUGAGAUACGGUCCAGACUCCUACGGGAGGCAGCAGUGGGGAAUAUUGGGCAAUGGGGGGAACCCUGACCCAGCGACGCCGCGUGAGGGCGGUUCGUUGACCUCUUUUGUACGGGGGAAACUGUACGAAUAAGUCCCGGCAACUACGUGCCAGCAGCCGCGGUAAUACGUAGGGGACGAGCGUUGUCCGGAAUUACUGGGCGUAAAGGGCGCGUAGGCUGUGCUGCAAGUCAGCUGUGAAAUAUCUGGGCUUAACCUGGAUAUGCGGAUGAGACUGCAGUGCUGGAGUGCUGUAGAGGCAAGUGGAAUUCCCAGUGUAGCGGUGAAAUGCGUAGAUAUUGGGAAGAACACCGGUGGCGAAGGCGACUUGCUGGGCACAACUGACGCUGAGGCGCGAAAGCCAGGGGAGCGAACGGGAUUAGAUACCCCGGUAGUCCUGGCCGUAAACGAUGAAUGCUAGGUGUGGGUGUAGAGAUACAUUCGUGCCGGAGUUAACGCGAUAAGCAUUCCGCCUGGGGAGUACGGUCGCAAGAUUGAAACUCAAAGGAAUUGACGGGGGCCCGCACAAGCGGUGGAGCACGUGGUUUAAUUCGAUGCAAACCGAAGAACCUUACCUGGGUACAUGACGUGGUACGAUCUGAAAGGUGAGGAUUGAGCGUCAAGGUGCUGCAUGGCUGUCGUCAGCUCGUGUCGUGAGAUGUUGGGUUAAGUCCCGCAACGAGCGCAACCCUUGCUGCCAGUUGCCAACGGGUAAUGCCGGGCACUCUGGCGGGACUGCCAUCGACAAGAUGGAGGAAGGUGGGGAUGACGUCAAGUCAUCAUGGCCCUUAUGUCCAGGGCGACACACGUGCUACAAUGGUCGGCACAGCGGGAAGCGAGGCAGUGAUGCCGAGCGAUCCCUUAAAGCCGGUCUCAGUUCGGAUUGAAGUCUGCAACUCGACUUCAUGAAGCUGGAAUCGCUAGUAAUCGCAGAUCAGCCAAGCUGCGGUGAAUACGUUCCCGGGCCUGUACACACCCCCGUC
rnacentral:rRNA from 1 species